CUAGUGUUCAGCUCUAUUAGGACGAACCCAGGCACUUAGCCAUGCAGGAACAAUGGCAAGCCUUUAGCCCGAUCGGGAGUGGCAAUGGGCGCCUCGAUGGAUCAGGAGCACAGCGGACACCCUGCCAGAUCUGGAGGGAUGGAAGUCAGCGGUGGGUCUGCGAAAGCGCAAACAGGAGUGGUGGACAGCAAGUGAAAGCUCACCUCGAGCCGUAAGGAACACGGAACAAAAGAGAGUGCAGUUGCAAGAUUUAAUAGAGUGAAGACAGAGCUCCCAUACAAAAAGAGAGGACCCAAAGAGGUCAUCAGUUAGAUGAAUAUGUAUUUGAAAGCUGUUCAUUCAUUGUGGAGAUGUGGGUAGACAGCAGUAAAUAUGCCCCAUGGCACUGAUUAACUCAAAGUGGCUCCAGGCCAAAGAUUUUAUGCUUCAGUGGAGAUAUUUUUGCCAGGAACCAUGUUUACCAGAGAUGUUUCCCAAGAUGGACAACAGACUGACCAUGUUGAUUCAGAACUAAGUACUAAUAAAAAGGAGUUUAAUAAGAAGUCUAAUAGAAAUCAAAUUGUAUUUAUCAACUUUAAUUCUAUUUUAAUGCACGAGUCCUAACAGCCAAACGACUAAUAUGCUGACAUUUCUUAAUUCAUUUUUUCUGACUGUGCUCCCAAAAGUUGUCUGGGCUUUUGCUGUUGCAACUGGAAGAGGCAAAGAAUAAUGAUUAUUAAAAAGUAGGUAUGUGCAAUAUUGAGAUCAUCCGGUGGUUCUUCAUUGCAAUCCAACAGGCAAAGGAGUAAGAAAGAAUCCUGGAAUCUUAAUUCUGGUUCUCAAGGACACGGGAAUGAUAGAAUUGGAAUAUUCCAUAAUUACUCAUUUGCUUUACCCCACAUUGCAAAUGCCACUGUCACAGAAGAACAAUACUAAUACUACCACCACCAAUUAUAGUCACAGAAACAGGUAUAUUCUUUGUACUGUGCAGCUCCAGAGAUCUUUCUGUGUUGAUCUGAAUUUAAUGGUGGAAAUGUGGAGUGAAAGACAGAAGAGAUGUCUGGGGGCAAAAUGCCCUACAAAAGGAAAAGCAUAGAGAUCCACAUGGAAAGUGUUGCUAAAUGGUCUAUAUUUUGCUCUCUAGAACUUCUCAUUUCCUGUUCCAGAUUGGGAACACUGGGACACACAGUUUAC
rnacentral:lncRNA from 1 species